UGAGGAAUAUUGGACAAUGGGGGAAACCCUGAUCCAGCCAUGCCGCGUGCGCGAUGAAGGCCUUAGGGUUGUAAAGCGCUUUCACCCGUGAAGAUGAUGACGGUAGCGGGAGAAGAAGCCCCGGCUAACUCCGUGCCAGCAGCCGCGGUAAUACGGAGGGGGCAAGCGUUGUUCGGAAUUACUGGGCGUAAAGGGCGCGUAGGCGGCUGUGUAAGUUGGGGGUGAAAGGCCUGGGCUCAACCUAGGAACUGCCUUCAAAACUGCACAGCUUGAGACCGGGAGAGGAUAGCGGAAUUCCCAGUGUAGAGGUGAAAUUCGUAGAUAUUGGGAAGAACACCAGUGGCGUAGGCGGCUAUCUGGACCGGUUCUGACGCUGAGGCGCGAAAGCGUGGGGAGCAAACAGGAUUAGAUACCCCCGUAGUCC
rnacentral:rRNA from 1 species